AGUAGAAUGUUUUUUUUUUGUAAUAUAUUUUACAAUUUUACAUUUGUGACAACAGAUGAUGUUUUUUGCGCUUAGCUGUAAACUUGUGCCCAACCCUGCUCCUGCCGAUCGACUGUCCUGCACAGUUCAUCUCCAAUUCUAAUCAAACACACCUGCCUUGAAUUUGUGAAUUCAAGUGAUCUGAAGACCUUAAUUGGUUGCUUCAGGUGUGUUUGAUUAGGUUUUAAACUGUGCAGGACAGUCGAUCGGCAGGAGCAUGCACACCUUUUAAAACGAUCUCUUGCUAGCUUAAUUUACACAGCAUUAGCAUGUAUCCUUGUCAUAGUAAGUGUGUUAGAAGUGGAAAUAGUGAGAAUUUGGUGUUUUUUUUUUUUAGUUUAGUUGUAAUUUAGCUUUAAACUUUUUUAUUGACAUUUAACUUUAGCUUAACAUAACACAUGGCCUAGAUAUAUUCUUUUUUAAUGUUUUUUUUUAGCUCCAGUAGGCUAUAGUAUUAAACUAAUAUUGUUUUUGUUGUUUUUUAAGCUCUUUAUUAAAUAAGUGCUGCUGUCUGUCUGUUAUGCCUGAGGAAGAAAGGAAAGCACUGAUAUUGGAGGUGAAAAAGAAGAACAACCAACAGCUAAUCAAAAGUAAAAUGGAAAGAACCUUUGCCUAUAGAAGACAGGAAGUUGUUAAAGAUAUGCCCUUCAUAGCAGAGUUCAAAAACAGAUGGCCAGCCCUGUUUUCUGAGAGCCAGGUAAAUGCAGAAUUCACCCUCAUCACCACAGCCCCCUGUUCUCAACCUUUAUGUCCCGACUGGAUCAUUACUCCAACCAGCCAUUGAGGGUAUUCAAAAAGAAGGGGGGAACAGCAAGACGCGAUAUCGACGUAAUCAUUGCGGAAAUGGACAAGAAUCCCAGUGUUGAAGUACGACGGACUGAAAUGAAAAGCCUGGCAGCCUUAUUAAGGAGCACUGAGCACUGAGAUGAGAGAGGCUAUCGAGGAUAUUGGUAUUGAUGCAAUGACGGAAAUGGAGAAACUGGCUUUGGGUCUCUAUGUUGUUCGACAUGAUGGAGCAGAUGCUACAGAUCCACCUGAGGAUGUUGGCAUCGUCAUUGAAGGCUGCACAGUGCUGCGAGAUCUGAGAGAGGUUACAAAUGGAUGUGCAGUCCUGUUUGGCUUGAUCUACUGUUUAAACUUGAGCUAUCCCAUGGAGCUGCGAUACUUUCGAAUUUCUUCAGGAAGUGUUAAUGGAAAUGGAUGGAUGAGAACAAGCUCUCCACUAAAGUGCAGGUCCUCAAAAACAAACUGCAUGAGUAAAAUCACCUGCACCAGGCAAGACUGGACCUGGCCUUUUGUUGACUGCUGCUUUAUUUUUGGACUGCUGCUGGACAAGGUAAAGCUGUGAUCAAUAAUGUUUGGAAUAAGCAAACAAGACUGUAGUUGAUUAAUUUAAAUUAGUCUAUUUGCAUUUUAUGUGUAUUUAUGUUGGUGUCUUCAAUUUUAUUUGUACACUUUGCAUUUGUAAGUUUUGCUUACUUUGCAUAAUUGUGUCAGUCAUGACAGUGCCAGCUAUAGUAAUGCACAUUGAAGGUCAAAAUUACUUUGA